rnacentral:hammerhead_ribozyme from 1 species
AUCCAGCUGACGAGUCCCAAAUAGGACGAGGCACACGUCUUGGAU